GCAGUGUACGGAAUAUCUUACUUCUAGUAUGAUAUAUUGAUGAUUUAAGUCCUUCUUAAAUGAGGCCAUUUACCCAUAGAGGGUGCCAGGCCCGUAUAACAUUAAUGAUUACUAGAAGAUAUUUCCAAAGAGUCGUGUUGCUUGAUAGUGCAGCACUAAGUGGGUGGUAAACUCCAUCUAAAACUAAAUAUAACCAUGAGACCGAUAGUAAACAAGUACCGUGAGGGAAAGUUGAAAAGAACUCUGAAUAGAGAGUUAAAUAGUACGUGAAACUGCUUAGAGGUUAAGCCCGAUGAACCUGAAUAUCCAUUAUAAAGAAUUCAUCAUCAAAAUAGUUAUAUAUAAAAAAUUUAUAAUUAUAAUGGUGUGCAUUUUCUUUAUAUAAGGACAUUGUAAUCUAUUAACAUAUUAGAAAAAUUUAUUAUAAGAUCAAUUGCAAGAGUUUAUUUUAAUUAUAUUACUUCGGUAAUUUAUAUUAAAUAAAUGCUUUUGAUUUAAUAAAGUGUUGAUAGAUUUAAUCAUAUGUAUAAUGUAUAAAUUUCAUUUAUGAAAUUUUAUAAUAAGUUUUUAUUAUAAGCAUUUAUACGAUUGACAAUGCGAAAGAUUCAGGAUACCUUCGGGACCCGUCUUGAAACACGGACCAAGGAGUCUAACAUAUGUGCAAGCUUUUGGGUAUAUAAUAAACAAAACCCAUAAGCAUAAUUAACUUAACUAAUAUUUAAUGGGAUGAAUUUAUUUAACUUAUUUUAUAAGUUAAUAAAUGCAAUCCCGGGGCGUUCUAUAUGGUUAUGUAUAAUAAUGUUUUUUUCUUUAAAAUUAUAUUAUUUAUACCUCUAACUAGAGCGUACCUUGAGCAUAUAUGCUGUGACCCGAAAGAUGGUGAACUAUACUUGAUCAGGUUGAAGUCAGGGGAAACCCUGAUGGAAG
rnacentral:rRNA from 1 species